rnacentral:tRNA from 1 species
UUAUUAAUUGUGGCAGAAAAAGUGCACUGAUUUUAAGCGUCAGAUAUGGGCUACCCCAAUUAAU